rnacentral:rRNA from 1 species
GCAAGUCGAGCGGUAACAGAGAGUAGCUUGCUACUUUGCUGACGAGCGGCGGACGGGUGAGUAAUGCUUGGGAAUAUGCCUUAUGGUGGGGGACAACAGUUGGAAACGACUGCUAAUACCGCAUAACGUCUACGGACCAAAGGGGGGGAUCUUCGGACCUCUCGCCAUUUGAUUAGCCCAGGUGAGAUUAGCUUGUUGGUGAGGUAAGAGCUCACCAAGGCGACGAUCUCUAGCUGGUCUGAGAGGAUGAUC